rnacentral:rRNA from 1 species
UGACAUGGGGGCACCUGAUCAUCCAUGCCGCGUGAGUGAAGAAGGCCUUCGGGUUGUAAAGCUCUUUCGGACGGGAAGAAAUCGCACGCUCUAAUAUGGCGUGUGGAUGACGGUACCGUAAGAAGAAGCACCGGCUAACUACGUGCCAGCAGCCGCGGUAAUACGUAGGGUGCGAGCGUUAAUCGGAAUUACUGGGCGUAAAGCGUGCGCAGGCGGAUGGAUAAGACAGAUGUGAAAUCCCCGGGCUUAACCUGGGAAUGGCGUUUGUGACUGUUCAUCUAGAGUACGGCAGAGGGAGGCGGAAUUCCACGUGUAGCAGUGAAAUGCGUAGAGAUGUGGAGGAACACCGAUGGCGAAGGCAGCCUCCUGGGCCGAUACUGACGCUCAUGCACGAAAGCGUGGGGAGCAAACAGGAUUAGAUACCCUGGUAGUCCACGCCCUAAACGAUGUCGACUAGUUGUUCGGGAAGGAGACUUCUUGAGUAACGUAGCUAACGCGUGAAGUCGACCGCCUGGGGAGUACGGUCGCAAGAUUAAAACUCAAAGGAAUUGACGGGGACCCGCACAAGCGGUGGAUGAUGUGGAUUAAUUCGAUGCAACGCGAAAAACCUUACCUACCCUUGACAUGCCAGGAAUUCUGCUGAGAGGUGGAAGUGCCCGAAAGGGAACCUGGACACAGGUGCUGCAUGGCUGUCGUCAGCUCGUGUCGUGAG